rnacentral:rRNA from 1 species
CCCGGGCCUUGUACACACCGCCCGUCACACCACGAAAGCUGCUUGAACCAGAAGUCCGCUACCCCAACCGCAAGGAGGGAACGGCCCAAGGUUUGAGUGGUGAUUGGGGUG